rnacentral:rRNA from 1 species
UGGCGGCAGGCCUAACACAUGCAAGUCGAGCGGUAACAUUUCUAGCUUGCUAGAAGAUGACGAGCGGCGGACGGGUGAGUAACGCGUAGAAAUCUACCUAGUAGUGGGGGAUAGCCCAGAGAAAUUUGGAUUAAUACCGCAUACGCCCUACGGGGGAAAGCGGGGGAUCUUCGGACCUCGUGCUAUUAGAUGAGUCUGCGUCGGAUUAGCUUGUUGGUGAGGUAAUGGCUCACCAAGGCGACGAUCCGUAGCUGGUCUGAGAGGAUGACCAGCCACACUGGAACUGAGACACGGUCCAGACUCCUACGGGAGGCAGCAGUGGGGGAUAUUGCACAAUGGGCGCAAGCCUGAUGCAGCCAUGCCGCGUGUGUGAAGAAGGCCUUAGGGUUGUAAAGCACUUUCAGCAGUGAGGAAAGGGGUGUCGUUAAUAGCGCCAUCCUGUGACGUUAACUGCAGAAGAAGGACCGGCUAACUCCGUG